GAGUUUGAUCCUGGCUCAGAACGAACGCUGGCGGCAGGCCUAACACAUGCAAGUCGAACGAUCCUUCGGGAUAGUGGCAGACGGGUGAGUAACGCGUGGGAAACUACCUUUCGGUACGGAAUAGCCUCGGGAAACUGGGAUUAAUACCGUAUACGUCCUUCGGGAGAAAGAUUUAUCGCCGAUUGAGGUGCCCGCGUUGGAUUAGCUUGUUGGUGAGGUAAUGGCUCACCAAGGCGACGAUCCAUAGCUGGUCUGAGAGGAUGAUCAGCCACACUGGGACUUAGACACGGCCCAGACUCCUACGGGAGGCAGCAGUGGGGAAUAUUGGACAAUGGGCGAAAGCCUGAUCCAGCCAUGCCGCGUGAGUGAUGACGGCCUUAGGGUUGUAAAGCUCUUUCAGUGGGGAAGAUAAUGACGGUACCCACAGAAGAAGCCCCGGCUAACUCCGUGCCAGCAGCCGCGGUAAUACGGAGGGGGCUAGCGUUGUUCGGAAUUACUGGGCGUAAAGCGCGCGUAGGCGGAUCUUUAAGUCAGGGGUGAAAUCCUGGGGCUCAACCUCAGAACUGCCCUUGAUACUGAAGAUCUUGAGUCCGGAAGAGGGUUAGUGGAAUUCCCAGUGUAGAGGUGAAAUUUCGUAGAUAUUGGGAAGAACACCAGUGGCGAAGGCGGCUAACUGGUCCGGUACUGACGCUGAGGUGCGAAAGCGUGGGGGAGCAAACAGGAUUAGAUACCCUGGUAGUCCACGCCGUAAACGAUGGAUGCUAGCCGUCGGACAGUAUACUGUUCGGUGGCGCAGCUAACGCAUUAAGCAUCCCGCCUGGGGAGUACGGUCGCAAGAUUAAAACUCAAAGGGAUUGACGGGGGCCCGCACAAGCGGUGGAGCAUGUGGUUUAAUUCGAAGCAACGCGCAGAACCUUACCUACCCUUGACAUCCCGAUCGCGGUUUCCAGAGAUGGAUUCCUUCAGUUAGGCUGGAUCGGUGACAGGUGCUGCAUGGCUGUCGUCAGCUCGUGUCGUGAGAUGUUGGGUUAAGUCCCGCAACGAGCGCAACCCUCGCCUUUAGUUGCCAGCAUUUAGUUGGGCACUCUAAAGGGACUGCCGGUGAUAAGCCGGAGGAAGGUGGGGAUGACGUCAAGUCCUCAUGGCCCUUACGGGUAGGGCUACACACGUGCUACAAUGGCGGUGACAGUGGGCAGCCACUCCGCGAGGAGGAGCUAAUCCCAAAAAGCCGUCUCAGUUCGGAUUGCACUCUGCAACUCGGGUGCAUGAAGUUGGAAUCGCUAGUAAUCGUAGAACAGCAUGCUACGGUGAAUACGUUCCCGGGCCUUGUACACACCGCCCGUCACACCAUGGGAGUUGGCUUUACCUUAAGACGGUGUGCUAACCUUCGGGAGGCAGCCGGCCACGGUAGGGUCAGCGACUGGGGUGAAGUCGUAACAAGGUAGCCGU
rnacentral:rRNA from 1 species